ACAGCUUCCUAAUUGGAGUGCCAUAAUGGUCCAGGCAUGCCCAGAGGUGUGCGGAUGGAGGAUGACCAGUUUUUUCUUUAGGGUUUUUGGUUUUUUAUCGACGUCAUCUUCUGUUCUCUAUACGACUACUGGUUAUUUUCAUUGCGGAAUUUUGGAGUGUCCAUCAGCAACACCAAAAGAAAGAGGAGUGGCUUAGGGUCACAUGGGACUUUAUUGUAAUAGGGACACUCUGAUUGGUUCUUAUGAGGUAUUUGGUUAACCCUUUAGAAGUUAUGAU